CACAUGGAAAAUUCAGAACUGGAAGAAGUGCAAGAGAAAUGAAGGUAAUACAUUUAUUUUUCUUCAUUUACAACUAAAGAGAUAGUUAUUAUCUAAGCUGUUCUUACAUUUAAGUGUUCUUGACCACAAAUGUUACUUAGCACUAUCAUGUUUUUCCAUUUAAAGCCAAAGUGAUGAUAUUGGUUGUUCAGUUCAGAUAAUGUUAUUUGUAGAGUUUACAGUACUAUACUUUUAUAACAGUAUUUAUCUUUGAAGGUGUUAAGAUUGCUUACUGUGCUUACUGUGAAAAGAUUGCUAUUGUGAUUGCAGUUGCAUAAGGUUUGCACUGAUCGGUUAGCCUAAUAAGCUAACUGGAUACUGCAUUAGUAAGAACAUGAGCACGAUAUGACUAAAGGCAGACUAAUACCAUUUGAUAUAUCCUUAUUCGAUUCAAAUCAAGUAUUAGUCUUUUCUGUAUUUGUCUCGCUGACUUUUUGUCAUCCAAUGUAGAUGUGUUCUAGUUGAGGAGCACAUGGGCAAUUGAAGAGCAUGUCAAAACGAAGAGCCAGACUUAGUCCUGAGGCUGAGGCUAUUCAUUUUAUUAUUUCUGGAAGUGACAAGCCUUGUUAUAAAGUCAAAUGGAUCAAUGACUAUAAAGGACGUGGUGUAUUUGCCUCAGCACCAAUUGAAAAGGGAUCCUUUGUCCUCGAGUACCGUGGGGAGUUUAUAUCGCAAUAUGAACGGGACAAGAGGCAGGGGAAGUAUACGGAAAAGCAAAAUGCUUUCUUGUUUGAUUUUGAAUGGAACAAUGGCUCAUGGUGCAUAGAUGCAUCCUGCGAA